GGCCAGGUAGCUCAGUUGGUUAGAGCAUUGUCCCAGUGUGUCAAGGUUGCAGGUUCAAUCCCUGGUCAGGGCA
rnacentral:tRNA from 1 species